GUAUUUUUCAUCGUGAGUGUUGUUUAGUUCUCAAAACCAAGUCUUUGCCAAAAUAAAAGCAGAAGAGUGUCGUAUAAGUUUCCCUUUUGACGUCUUUAUUUUUUUGACCAUGGUCCUCGAUGCUUCCCUUCCCGAUGACCCUGGCAUACUCUCGAACUACGAAUCUCACUCAACCAAUUACCAAUGGCUCACUUUCGGACAUUGAACCUUGCCUAAACGCCAACCACGGGUUACGUAUGGACUCCGACCCGAGCCCUAAUGUUAACCCCAGCCCGAUUUUGGAUAAUGCAACCAGCAAUUCCUCAAUCUCAUGAGGAACCUAUGAUAUGUAUCAAUUGUAUAGCUGACAUGAUGCAGAGGAGGCGACAUAGCCUAGAGCUUAUUUAAGUUCAGUUGGUUAUAAUUUGAUGACUCCUCAGCUGAUUGAUAACAGCAGUGUAUGUUGUCACUCAUGUUGGACCGUGGCCACGGUGUGGCUCUGCACCAAUCAAGGACAAAUAAUAUUUCAAAUGAAGAAGCAACCACUAGCACUGGUCACAGUUAACGUGGAUUGUCUUUGUUACAAAUACGUUCCAUAGACUGCAUAUAAACACGGAAAGAGAAUCACAUAUUCGAAAAUAAUGUAAUAAUGGAACAGAUUUCACCUCGUCAACUGCGGGGAUCUGACCAAAUAUGUCAUCCUUAAGUGGCAGUGAGCUGAUCGAGCUGCUACACAUGCUGUGGAGCCCCAACAAACACAUGAUGGGACGAGGAUUCAUUUGUCCUGAUAUUGGCCGAAUAACAGUAGGUUGCUGUGCUCAUGUUAUGACAAUUUUGUGGUUUUUGAGCUGGGCAAGGUAUCAGGAACAUGUAUUUCCACCUGCCUAGUUCCUAGACAAUAUUUUAUUGACCCAUGAGUCAGAUUAAAAUAAUAAUAAUAAAAAAAAAUGGUGUUUUAUUUUGCUUCUAACCUUUCUAGUCUUAAGCAAAAAAAAAAUUUUUUAAGGACUUGGAUACAAAAUGAUAUUUAUAUUCUGUUUCUUACUGGUAUAGACUAUUUAAUAAAUAACAAAUUACAUGCUGUAAUGUCUGUCCACCUCAGGCCAAAGGUCCCAUACUAAGUGGGCAUAACC